UACGUAGGGGGCAAGCGUUAUCCGGAAUUAUUGGGCGUAAAGCGUCCGCAGGUGGCACUUCAAGUCUGUCGUCAAAGACUGGGGCUUAACCCCGGAAAGGCGGUGGAAACUGAAGCGCUAGAGUGCGGUAGGGGUAGAGGGAAUUCCCGGUGUAGCGGUGAAAUGCGUAGAGAUCGGGAAGAACAUCGGUGGCGAAAGCGCUCUACUGGACCGCAACUGACACUCAGGGACGAAAGCUAGGGGAGCGAAUGGG
rnacentral:rRNA from 1 species